UUCGCUGCCAUAUAUUAAUAAAUAUACGGGCGCCAAAAUUGCCACUUUAUUUCCCCUCCCGCCCGCGACUUAGUCAGUCUGGCUACCCCCUCUUCUCCGUUUGGUUUUCAUCGAGCUUGAGAGAAACUGCAACCGAAAUCCCUCCGUUCACUCCAUACUAAUUCGCUGCGAUAAUCCCCAUUUUCGAAUACCCACAAAGCUCCAUCUCGAUUCCUCCACUGCGUUUUCUUGUGUGGUUGAAGCUUUGUCGUCGUUUCCUUCCAAAACCAACCUCUGUGCCUCCAUCGAAUGGCUUACCCAUUAGCUUGCCCACACAGUACCCCCUUCAAAUCUUCCACAUUCUGAACCGAGUAGUACUUCGGCUACCAAAAAUAUAAUCCCUAUUCAGUCAGAACCACGAUGUACACACGCAGUACCCCUGCCAAACGAAGCCCUCUGUUGUGAUUGGGAAGGGGCUAACCUCUUGUUGAAGUGUUAGUCCGAAACAAAGGGGUCAGAAGUCCCAAACAAAACAGCUAAAACGAGGCAAACUAGUUCGUGUUGGGCUCUGUUGGGCAAAAUCCACUAUUCGGUACCUCUACUCAGAUUGUGCGAGUAGCUCUAUUCAUGUAUUGUUGGGAGGAAGGCAGAUGGGAAGUAUAGAGAAAGGGUUGUUUCUCAUAUUCUUCUCUUACCUAUGUAUUUGUUCAACUUCAUCCCCUCUUCAGAAUGGUCUUACUUUCUCCAGGUUGGUUGAGAACCUACAAAGCCCAGCUGGCUAACCUCCUCUCAAUCUUCUCAUUCACUCCUUCCCAAAUUGAAACAGAUUUAUAUAUUAUUACAACAAGAGAACAAAACAAUCUGUUUGGGAAAAGCCGGCAGAAUUGAUGACUCCAGUUGAGGUGAUUCUCAUUACUGAUUUGUUGCUAUUGCUGUAGUCACUCUGUCUGCUCCUGUUACCUGUUAUACAUUUGAUUGAAAUGCUCAGGAAUACUCAUAAACGAUGC